AAAACUUAGCAUUUCAGCAGAGAACAAGAAAGAGCCGAUGGCGACAAUUUCAUUCAAAUUUGCUUCUCCUUCAAAGCCCUCAAACCCUUCGAUCGCUCCCAAAAACCCUACAAUUUUCAAUCUACUACCCACUCCAUCGAAUCCCCAGCUCAAAAGAGCCUUCUUUCUCAAAUCUCCUGCAAUUUCUCCCAUCUUUAUCAGGGCUCUAAAGCCCCAACAAUGUCGUUCUUCUUCCACUCCAAUCACUUCCCUUUUUACCGGCAUAGUUGAAGAAAUGGGUCAGAUUAAACAACUGGGUUAUGAUAAACCCGACAGUUUCACCAUGAAAAUCCAAGCAAAACUCAUUCUUGAAGAUAUCAAUCUCGGCGACAGCAUUUCCGUCAACGGAACUUGUUUAACAGUAGCUGAGUUCGAUACCCAGAAGUUGGAAUUCAGUGUUGGGUUGGCGCCGGAGACACUAAGGAAGACUUCUUUGAUCGAAUUAGAACAAGGGUCUCUGGUGAAUCUGGAGAGGGCUUUGAGGCCUAGUACUAGAAUGGGGGGUCAUUUUGUGCAGGGACAUGUUGAUGGGACUGGUGAGAUUGUUGAGCUCAAAACUGAAGGGGAUUCUUUGUGGGUGAAGGUGAAGACUGCUAAAGAGAUUUUGAGGUACAUUGUGCCAAAAGGAUUCAUUGCUGUGGAUGGGACUAGUUUGACUGUUGUCGAUGUGGUUGAUGAAGAAGGCUGUUUUAACUUCAUGUUGGUGGCGUACACGCAGCAGAAUGUGGUGAUUCCAUUGAAGAAAGUGGGGCAGAAGGUUAAUCUUGAGGUGGAUAUAUUGGGAAAGUAUGUGGAGAGGCUUCUUAGUAGUGGCUUUGUGGAUUCCAUCAAAUCUUCAUGAAAAGGUUGUUACUUUGUGCUUCAUUUUAUCUGUGUAACUUGCUUUGACAGAAUUUUGUAUCUUGAAUUUCAGAGAUGCUGCUUUCCCAAUUGUCUCUAGGUGUAUUUCGAGAUAAUGUUUCAACGAAAUAGAAUAAACUAUAUCACCGUGACUCGGGCUUGAGUCAAAGCAAAAGUAUGUGAAUUUUACACUUAAAUUUAGUAAUACGGCAAA
rnacentral:misc_RNA from 1 species